rnacentral:rRNA from 1 species
AUGUCAAAAUAUUGGUGGGCUAGAUCACUUGAUAAAAAGGGAAUGCAUUGGCAGUCUUGGGAUAAGAUGUGCAUUGCAAAGUCAAAAGGGGGACUCGGAUUCUGGGACUUCGAAACCUUCAAUGACGCGAUGCUAGCCAAACAAGCAUGGAGAAUACUUGAUAAUCCGAACAUAUUGUGUGUCCGUGUCCUCAAGGGAAGAUAUUUCCCAAAUGAGGAUUUUCUUAGUGCGGGGAGCCCCGCGAGUGCAUCUAGAACAUGGAAGGCUAUCAUUGCAGGGAGGGAGAUGCUCAAAAAGGGCCUUAUUUGGCGAGUGGGAGAUGGAACAACAACUGAGGUUUGGCAUGACCAUUGGAUAGACGAAACCACAUCCAUGACUCCAAUGGGAGCACUCAAGCCGAGCUCUAUAUAA